GGUAUAUUUGUGCAAUGGAAUACUAUCAGCCAUGAGAAAGAAGGAAAUCCUGCUGUUUGUGACAACGUGGAUGGACCUUGAGGGCGUUAUGCUAAACGAGAUAAGAUGGACAAACACAGUAUGAUGUCACUUAUAUGUGGCACCUAAAAGAGCUGAACUCAUAGAAGCAGAGAGUAGAACAUGGUUACCAAGGGCUGGGAGGUGGGGAAAAAGGGGAGAUAUUGGUCAAGGAGUGCAAACUUCCAGCUAUAAAAAAAAAAUUAUAAUUAAAUAAACAAAAUACGAGUCGUAGGCAAGAAAGUGCACUCCUCGGGGUGCAACUCAAUGAAUUAAUCCACAGUGAACGUGCCCGGUUAACCACCACCCAGGUCAAGAAACUGGACAGCACCGACCCCACCUCUGCCACGAUGAUCUCCAUCAGUCACUAGCCGCUCCCUCCUCCCCAGAUUAACCACUGACUUCUCACACCGCACAUGGCAAAGCUGAACUGGAUAAGAAAUUACAGAAUUCUAAUAGAGAAACUGAUGGCUUCAUAAAACUGUUAACAAAAGAUCAAGAAUUCAUAUUUGUUAUGAAUUACCCGGCACUACAAAAACUGAGGAGGAUGCACUGUUUUAUUUUUCCAGAUUUAAAGAAAUCUUUUCUCUUAAGCCAUCAACAAACUGCUAAGGCAUAGCUUUGUGAACAAAGAUGAACAUUUACCUUUUCUCCCUACCAGACCCCUUCAGAAUUCAGAAACUCUCAGUGGGUAUUUUUUUUUUCCCUCCUGCUGGGAAAGAUUACUACUCAGCUAUCGUCCAUUGCCAAUCUUCCUCUUUUUUUUUUUCCUCCCCAGUGCCCCAGUGCAUGGCUGUAUAUCCUAGUUGUAGGGCCUCCUAGGUCUUCUGGGUGAGCCACCUCCACAGCAUGGUAACUGACAGACAAGUGAUGUGGUUCUGCAACUGGGAAGCGAACCUGGGCCACCGAAGCAGUGAGAGCACCCAACGUUAACCACUAGGCCAUGAGGGCUGGCUCUCACUCAGUACAUAAUUGCAUAUCCUGGUUUUAAGUCAUUCUGGUUCUUCUAUGUGGGAUGCCGCCACAGCAUGGCUUGAUGAGCAGUGCGUAGGUCUGCAUCCAGGAUCUGAACUGGCGAACCCCAGGCUGCCGAAGCAGAGCAUGUGAACUCAACCACUUGGCCGUGGGGUGGGCCACCAAUCAGGCCAAGUUUUUAAUGUAAAAAAAUUAGUUUUACUAUGAUUAUCUUUGGCAAAAAAAUGAGAGUAAUUGUGGAGAGAGAAAUUAUGUGGCACCUUGGUAGGUGUUGGAUUCCAAUUUUCUUUCAGAUUUCUUAAUAUACCUAUAGACUGGACUUCCCCGGCCUAAGGUAUUGCCUUCGGCCUUGCUGACUGUUGGCAGUGCCCUCUUUGGAGAACAUGGACUAACUCCACAUGGACAGUCACCAGCAGAUCAGUGUCUGUUGGUCCACAACCUUCUGUGGCUCCCCUGUUGUCUCAUGUGAGUGUGACCAGCUCCUGUGAGUCUCCACUGUCUUAGCCCCAGCCCAUCACCAACAGGUUAGAGAUGCUGUCCCAGAUUCCAGUGUAAAGGAUCCUGUUGGUCACAGUCUCGAGCCUGGUGACUGGGUGUUCUGGAAGCAUCAGAGGAAGAGGACAGCCCUCGAGCUCCAUGGAAAGGACCUUGCCACGUGCCCCUGACCACUGACACUGCUACAGGACUAGAAGACAUUUAACCUUGGAGAUACAUCUCACAGCUAAAGAGCCGACAUCUGGUGCUGUACAGACCCUGGAGACCUCCCAAUCGAAUUGACUAGGAAGAGAAGAAACCGACAUCUGAGGAGACACCUCCUCCCAGACUCAGGACCUUUUGCUCACUGUUGCGUCUUACCUUAUUUUCUCCCUCCACAUCUCCCAAUCUAUUACAAAAGGAGGAAAUCUUUGUGACAGCUGGGUUUGUCAUCAGAAGCCUCAUUCUGUACAUGAAUCCAGAAAUCCUUUAGUACAUUUAAUUACCAAUCUCUCUGCUAUUCCUCCCCUAAUUCAUUGUGCUAAGUGUCUCACCUUUCUGCUGGGAACAAAAAACCCACUCAAAACAAGAUCAACCUAACUGCACUCACGACGUGGGGUGGAUACCCCCUGAGUUGUCCAAAAACACCAUUAAACUUAAAGAAAGUGACUGAUUUGAGACAGACUGAUCUUGACGACCAGGCAUUUACUGGGUGGCCCCUAAUGGAACUCAGUGGCUACGUGGAAUAAAUCUUUGGACCUGGCUUCCACUUGGGUGGCUAGGACGUUGCACCCUCGGUUCCCCGUGGAUGCAAGGAAGGGCUUGCCCCAAAUUAACAACUGUCACUAAUCUCCCUCUCCUUAAAGCCAGGUGGACUCGUGCAGGUUUUCACUGGUACAGUCACUUAGCUGCCCCAUUUGUUCCUUCUAUUGGGUUAUAAGAUGUCAUAUUGCAUACAGAAGCCUUGACUCAGUUCACCCAACAGGCUCUUAACAGUAGCCGAACUGGAAUAUCACUAUUGAAUACUGAAAUGUCUUUAAUGAGAAAGGCCGUCCUCCAAAAUGGAACGGCCCUGGACAUGACAAGUGGGUCACAAGGUGGUCCGUGUGCUGUCUUCCAAGCUGAAUGUUGUGUUUUUAUACCUGAUGAAUCUUCCAACCUCUCAUUUUUGUUAACUCACGUGAGAAAGUACGGAAGUGCCUUUAGCGAUCCUACACCCAGUCUGAACGAUUUGUUUAGUUGGCUUCCCACAGGCUUUGGCACAUUUCCACAGUCCGGAUUACAAUUUCUCCUUCUGCUGCUCCUUGGAAUCUUUGUAUUGAUCACAGUAUUUAAACUAAUCACUGUUUUCUCUACUCAGUGUUGUCAAACCAGCAUUCAGGUCAAGCGGCAGUCUCAGGACAGCUAGAGCCAACAUGCAGAAUUGCGUUCCUAACUUCGACGUCUGUCCAAGAUGUUCUUGGGGAUGUGCAGACACAUCCUCAUGAACGUGGCCAUGCCUCAUCUUGUCUGCCGUGUUGUUCAAAUGUGGCCCUCCCUAACGAUAAAUAAGAGAAUACCUGUGCAGACUCGUUCCUAUUUCCCCCACCCAAGGACAGAGGGACCCAGGGCAGUGCCAUCCAGGCUGAUCCUGAGGGACUAAGGAAAUUGAUCAUCAGUGCUACCAUUCUGGUAGAUUUCGAUCAAAAGAGAGAGACAUGGAAUUGGGAAAAGAUGGAAUCCCUCAUAUUAUGGCACUAAAACGGAGCCAGGCGGCCCUGAGGAGGAGAGGAACAAAUUCCUCCUUCAGGAUGAGCUCUUGAACUCAUUAGAAGCCUGAAAUGUGUCUGCAGCCUUCUCCCGUUCCUGCCAGAGUCACCUCUGCACAUUCCUGAGUUUAAUGGCUUGUGUCAACCGACCCUCACCCCCACGACUACCUAGCACCUGGAACUUGUUAAAAAACAUUCCUUCUCUUUUUUUCUUUGCCUUUGUUAGUCUCAACAAUAAAGCUUGCCUUCUCCCUUCAACCGUCAGAACCCAGCUCAAGUGCUGUUGGAAUCCGCAUUCCUGGGCUGCACUGCUAACCAGCCCCGAAUAAACUUUUUGUUUUAAGUUUA